GAUGAAGAACGUAGCGAAAUGCGAAAAGUAGUGUGAAUUGCAGAAUUCAGUGAAUCAUCGAAUCUUUGAACGCACAUUGCGCCCGCCAGUAUUCUGGCGGGCAUGCCUGUUCGAGCGUCAUUUCAACCCUCAGGCCCCCAGUGCCUGGUGUUGGGGAUCGGCCCAGCCUUCCUGUAAGGCCGCCGGCCCCGAAAUCUAGUGGCGGUCUCGCUGUAGUCCUCCUCUGCGUAGUAGCACAACCUCGCAGUUGGAACGCGGCGGUGGCCAUGCCGUUAAACACCCCACUUCUGAAAGUUGACCUCGGAUCAGGUAGGAAUACCCGCUGAACUUAAGCAUAUCAAUAAGCGGAGGA
rnacentral:misc_RNA from 1 species